rnacentral:rRNA from 1 species
UACGUAGGGUGCAAGCGUUGUCCGGAAUUAUUGGGCGUAAAGAGCUCGUAGGCGGCUUGUCGCGUCGACUGUGAAAUCCCGGGGCUUAACUUCGGGCGUGCAGUCGAUACGGGCUGGCUUGAGUGCGGUAGGGGAGACUGGAAUUCCUGGUGUAGCGGUGAAAUGCGCAGAUAUCAGGAGGAACACCGGUGGCGAAGGCGGGUCUCUGGACAGUAACUGACGCUGAGGAGCGAAAGCGUGGGGAGCGAACAGG